AUACGGAGGAUCCGAGCGUUAUCCGGAUUUAUUGGGUUUAACGGGUGCGCAGGCGGCCAUUUAAGUCAGCGGUUAAAUCGUGGGGCUCAACCCCAUUCUGCAGUUGAUACUGGGUGGCUUGAUUGCGGUCAAGGUUGGCGGAAUUCGUUGUGUAGCGGUGAAAUGCAUAGAUAUGACGAAGAACACCGAUUGCGUAGGCAGCUGACCAGAUCGCAAAUGACGCUCAUGCACGAAAGUGCGGGGAUCGAACAGGAUUAGAUACCCUGGUAGUCCGCACAGUAAACGAUGAAUACUUGUUUUCGGCGAUAUAAUGUCGGAGGCAAAGCGAAAGCGAUAAGUAUUCCACCUGGGGAGUACGCCGGCAACGGUGAAACUCAAAUGAAUUGACGGGG
rnacentral:rRNA from 1 species